rnacentral:rRNA from 1 species
GACGAACGCUGGCGGCGUGCUUAACACAUGCAAGUCGAACGGAAAGGCCCUGCUUUUGUGGGGUGCUCGAGUGGCGAACGGGUGAGUAACACGAGAGUAAUCUGCUCUUGACUUUGGGAACACUUCAGGAAACUGGGGAUAAUACCGGAUAGGAGCUCCUGCUGCAUGGUGGGGGUUGGAAAGUUUCGGCGGUUGGGGAUGGACUCGCGGCUUAUCAGCUUGUUGGUGGGGUAGUGGCUUACCAAGGCUUUGACGGGUAGCCGGCCUGAGAGGGGGACCGGCCACAUUGGAACUGAAAUACGGCCAAGACUCCUACGGGAGGAAGCAGUGGGGAAUAUUGCACAAUGGGCGGAGGCCUGAUGCAGCAACGCCGCGUGCGGGAUGACGGCCUUCGGUUUGUAAACCGCUUUCGCCUGUGACGAAGCGUGAGUGACGGUAAUGGGUAAAGAAGCACCGGCUAACUACGUG